CUGGCAUUUACAAUGAUUUCAUGAAGAUGUUUUUCUUUUUUGGACAGGCAUCAAAAACCUUGAUUUGAAAACAGAAGACUGAUGAAAUCUGUUUUGCAGCACUGUGCAGUUUUAUAUUUGAUUUUCACUUGGUACAAAAGGGUAUGAAAAUGCAAGAAUAGGUUUGCUAGUGUUUUUGGUAUUAGCAUGGAAUGGUACAUGGCAUUUACAAGAUUUACAAGACAACCAUCGCCCUGUUGCAUUGUAUGGCACUGAAUGCUGGGCAGCAACAACAGGGGCCGAAAGCUAUCUCCAUGCCAUGAAAAUAAAAAUACUCUUUUGGAUAUCAGGCAUUUCCCUUCUUGAUCACAUCAUUACACCAUUCAACAACAUUUUAAUGGGGCACCAAUUAUAGAGAAGAUCAGAGAAGGCCAACUCCGCUGGUAUGGACAUGUCUAGAGAGCAGCACCUUCCACUGUGGCCAAGACUGCCUACCAACUAGAAGUCACUGGCUGGUGACCUCAUGGGCAUCCAAAACCGAGAUGGCAAGAUACCAUCAACAAGAUAUGCAAGCCACGUUCCUGCAUCCUGGAUACUCAGCUGACUGUGCAAAGUGGCAUUCAAUGAUCCAAAAAAUGGACCCUGCACAUGCGGGAAUAGCUAGGAAGAAGAUGGAAUGGUACAUGGCAUAGGUAUAAUUAAGAUCUACCCUUUAUUUUAUUUAAAGGUAUUCUGUGAAGGAUUUUUUUUAAACCAAAGCUAUGAUGAUGGGCAAUGAUACAUCUAUUUGUUGGUGUUUACUAGAUUAUAAUAAAUAAUGAGUAUAUGGUAAAGAAA